rnacentral:rRNA from 1 species
AAAUUGAAGAGUUUGAUCAUGGCUCAGAUUGAACGCUGGCGGCAGGCCUAACACAUGCAAGUCGAACGGUAACAGGAAGCAGCUUGCUGCUUUGCUGACGAGUGGCGGACGGGUGAGUAAUGUCUGGGAAACUGCCCGAUGGAGGGGGAUAACUACUGGAAACGGUAGCUAAUACCGCAUAAUGUCGCAAGACCAAAGAGGGGGACCUUCGGGCCUCUUGCCAUCGGAUGUGCCCAGAUGGGAUUAGCUUGUUGGUGAGGUAACGGCUCACCAAGGCGACGAUCCCUAGCUGGUCUGAGAGGAUGACCAGCCACACUGGAACUGAGACACGGUCCAGACUCCUACGGGAGGCAGCAGUGGGGAAUAUUGCACAAUGGGCGCAAGCCUGAUGCAGCCAUGCCGCGUGUAUGAAGAAGGCCUUCGGGUUGUAAAGUACUUUCAGCGGGGAGGAAGGUGUUGUGGUUAAUAACC